UUCUUGCCGCUACAUUUUUGUUUCCCUCUCCCAAAUUUGGACACCAAAACCCUAAAUUCCUUUCCUUCCCGAACCCGUCCCUCUCCACCUGCGAUCUCUUCACAUGGGUCGUUCGCCCGUUCGCGGAUAUCCACCCAUGAACGGAAGUUGCGUUGAAUCCCCAAACGUCGUCGUCUCUGCCAUGAUGAAGAGUAGUAGGGGGAGGAGAGCGACAAUGGUGGAGGAAUUGAAGAAACGGAAGUUUAAAGAAGAUUCUAUCAAUAGACAUGUUUCUCAUCUUGAUUCCGCCUCUUGGAUCUGUUUCCUUCUUGACCCCCUCAAAAAAGACUAGCUCGUUGAUCUCCAGCGCCAUCACUCAGGAAAUGGAACACCAAUGCCGACAGCAGCAAUGAGUCACACCCGGUGGUGGCACCGCAAGCGCAGACGGAUAAGCGGGCCAAGAUGGUAAGGGAUACGGAAGAUGCUGAUUUGGACAAAAGGUGACCUUGUUCUUUGGCUCACAGAUCGACACCGCCGAGAGGUGAUAUUGAUAGUGAACAGCAUAGUGAAAUUGAAUCUGCUGCUGAACAACUCUAUGGUCUUAUACAUGCUCUUUAUAUUGUAACUAGUAGAGGACUAAAUGCAAUGGUGAAAUAGAUAUUUUUGCUCUUAUCUAUUUGUGAAAGCAUAGAGAAGUGAAUAUUAACAAUGUAAUGACGAAAUAGAUAAUCUUGUUAUGGGAGUGCUAA